rnacentral:rRNA from 1 species
CUUGCUUGCCAAUGUGAAUGUAUCCAAAGUAGCAUUGGUCCUAAAUUCCCCGUCUAUUUGGAACGUCACGGGAACUGUAGAGUAUA